rnacentral:sRNA from 1 species
AACAUUUAUACUUAUACUUACCUGUCUCUUCUAGUUGUGGUGGGCGCGACUGCUUUGGUACUCUAGCAUAGCCUCCAACCCAUUCAUCCUCCUGCCACUGGUGCCCAUCUAUCAACAGUGCCUCAAUGUAAUCAACCCUUGGAUCAUCAACUUCAUCAUCCCAUGAAAGAGAUGGAGGACAAACAUUAUCAGCUGGUUUCACAAUAUAGUUGACCUCAACCUACACAAAUAAGUAUGUUAACCAUAGAUAAUGUACAUUUACUUAUUAUGUACGUACAUACACAAUUUAACACACCUCAUCAGCAGCCUCUCACUCCAAAAUGCGAGAUGUCCGGAUUGCUCGCAGAGAGGCAAGACGAUGGAUAGACCUCUCAGCAAAUGUCCUGUUAGGUACAUCAUCAGGUCCUAGCUUAGCAAUUGAUGGGAUUGUUUCGAAAGCUAAAAGCUGGAGAGCUAAUGGGAAACCAUGGAGUGCAUAAGACCCUACAAGUAUACCCCUUAUUAGUUUCUGAGCAUCGUAAGGAGUUUGGAAAUUUGCUAUCCUCCCCAAAGUACGGGUAAAGGACACCCUUCCCCAUGGGUAUUUACAGAAAAACUCCAGGUUCUUAGUCAUCUCGACAGUCUUCGAAGUAGGCCUGUUGGGGUUACUGUGGGCCGCUACCACACCGUCAACCAAAAUAAUAAGAGAUAGUGCCAGUUGCUUCCACCCCUCCAUGCUUUCCUCCUCCUGCAGCCAGCUCACCAAAUCAGCAAUUGUUGGAACCGUGUCCCCAAACCUCUCAUGAAACAGAGUAUUCCAAACACUCUCACACUCAGGUUUCACACUGAUAACAUCAUCAACGUCUUUCUUCUUGGGAUACUUCCCACAUUCCAGCCCAGUUAAGAUACUAAAUUCUCUUAAUCCAAAUCUGAUUGGAUGACCGCCGAAUACAAUCCACAUCUCAUUCACCUUCUUUGUCACUAACUGACGGCAUAUUAGUCCAAGGACAAGCUUAGCAUUGAAAGAUGCCUUGUUUUUGGGUAUUUUAAAAAGUUUCCCAAAUGGAGAAUCGAGAAGAAACUGCAUCUCUGGUUUCCCCUUUAGUACUUUUGCUAUGUCAGAAAUGUACUCCGGUUUAGAGUACGCGUUCAUCUUCGUCUCGGAAGGGUACCGGUCUAGAGCAAAGAGUCUUGGUGGUAACUCUUCAACUGUAAGAUCUUCAGUCGGAGCAACACUUGGACUACCUGCAAUUAAAAGUCAUAUACUGUUGAGCAAACAGAAGUAGUGUACGUACACAGACAUUUUCCAGAUUAUAACUUAAAAUCAUAUUUUUGGCGGAAACAGAGAUUUCCAAUUCUACUUCUCAAUUUUUCAUCCUAAAGAUAUGCUAAAUUCCGACAAAUUCUAACACUUUAAUCAAACAAGCUUUACAAUUCUGAUACACCCAAAGACAACAAACGGUAAAUUAGAGAUUCUAACCCAGUUCCUCCGUUGCCUUUGUCGCAGAGCGUUUUCUUCGCGGGGAAACUCUUAAUACACGCUUCUCCUUCCCUGGACCAUGCUGUUUCCUCGGGACUUCGUCGUUAGCUUUAUUUCCAGCCAUAGCUAAAGAUGCUAUCUCGCCGGAGGUUCAAAUUUCGCCGGAAAAAACAGUAACUUUCUCUUGGCUUCGCCGGGAAAAACAGUAACUUUCUCUUGGCUUCGCCGGGAAAAACAGUAACUUUCACUUCAGCGGAUGUGGGAGUUCAGUGGCACAAUUCAACUACCCAACAAUUCGAAGUUAUGUCGAAUUUUGAAGCAAUGGAUACUGAAUUUCGUUUCGCUUUCUGAUUCUCUCUCAAUCUCUCCGUUAUUCUCUUUUUCGUUUUUUCUCGGUUUCUUCGUUUCAGUUUUUUUUUUUUUGUCUUUUUCAAAACUGAACCGCAUCAACUAAACCGAAACCAACUGCUGUAGGGUUUGGUUUAUGCCGUCAACUUAACCGAUACGAACUGCUGCACGGUUUGGUUUGUGCCAUUAUUAAGUUUUCCCAGGGUAAUUUGGUCCGAAAUUGAAUGAAAAGACAAAACGUGAAAACCAGUUUUCACUUUAAUAAUUCGGUGAGUAGAACGCAGACGUGAUUUGU